AGAGUUUGAUCCUGGCUCAGAUUGAACGCUGGCGGCAUGCCUUACACAUGCAAGUCGAACGGCAGCAUAGGAGCUUGCUCCUGAUGGCGAGUGGCGAACGGGUGAGUAAUAUAUCGGAACGUGCCCUAGAGUGGGGGAUAACUAGUCGAAAGACUAGCUAAUACCGCAUACGAUCUACGGAUGAAAGUGGGGGAUCGCAAGACCUCAUGCUCCUGGAGCGGCCGAUAUCUGAUUAGCUAGUUGGUGGGGUAAAAGCCUACCAAGGCAACGAUCAGUAGCUGGUCUGAGAGGACGACCAGCCACACUGGGACUGAGACACGGCCCAGACUCCUACGGGAGGCAGCAGUGGGGAAUUUUGGACAAUGGGGGCAACCCUGAUCCAGCAAUGCCGCGUUAGUGAAGAAGGCCUUCGGGUUGUAAAGCUCUUUUGUCAGGGAAGAAACGGUGGUAGCGAAUAACUACUACUAAUGACGGUACCUGAAGAAUAAGCACCGGCUAACUACGUGCCAGCAGCCGCGGUAAU
rnacentral:rRNA from 1 species